GGCGACUGAACUGGGAUGAGCCCAGCGCAUAACCUGGCGUCGUGACCCGGCGCCAGGGGUGUUGCGUUUCGGAGGGUCCGGCACGCAGUCUCUCACCGCCUAAGUUAUGCUUGAAAGCGGCCACUACCCAUGGAGGGUGAUAGGCCCGUGUGGCGGAGCCCGCGAGGGCACACGAGAGAUUGUCGGAAAGGACCUCUCCGCAGAGUCGGGUUGCUUGAAAUUGCAGCCCUAAGCAGGUGGUAAACUCCAUCUAAGGCUAAAUAUGACCACGAGACCGAUAGCGAACAAGUACCGUGAGGGAAAGUUGAAAAGAACUUUGAAGAGAGAGUUCAAGAGUACGUGAAACCGUUAAGAGCUAAACGGGUGGGACCUCGAAGGUCGAGGCCAGGAGAUUCAGCUCGUCGGCUAAUGUCGGCCGGGUGUUCUAGGGAUUCGCUUAUGCGACCCAGGAACUCUUGGGCGUGCCCUCGCCCGAGCCGGCGCCGGCGGGCGUAUUUCCCUUGGCUUUACUCAUAAUCGCCGCGACCCGUUGCUGGGGACGUCGAAGGCCCGGUUGGACUGGUACCCCAACGUCGCUUGCUGGUUUCUUGCACUCCAGUUCUUCAAGUGUUCGAAGGGGGAAACCUCCGGUGUCCUGGCUGCCCUGCGACGGUCGUGUAGCAGAGGAGCGCAUCCACGCUUCCUCUCGCGGCGUGCAAAAGGUCGGUGACCCACCCGACCCGUCUUGAAACACGGACCAAGGAGUCUAACAUGUGUGCGAGUCAUUGGACCCACUAAAUCCAAAGGCGAAAUGAAAGUGAAAGGUGGGCGCAAGCCCACCGGGGCCGAUCCUCGACCGCUGUCGAUGCCGUGCCGCGGUCGAAUCCCAUACCAAAGCGGGUGCCAAUCAAAGGCGGCGUGCGGGAUGAGUUAUUAUUAUCUCCCGCAUUGUCCUUGCCCGGCCCCGUGGGCGCCCGGCGUGCUCGUAGUAGUCCGGAGGCCGGUGGUGGUAAUUUUAUAUUAUCGUCGCUGGUCUUCGCCUGUUCGCAGGGAGGCGCAGGCCCGGGACUUGCCAUACGACGCCGUCGCGCGAAUCUGUUGUUGACCACGUUGGCUCUGCUUGGGCUCUCGGUUGUUGGCGGGGCUGCGUGUCUGGGCGGGUCUUCUGGGCCCGCCCGGCGUGGUUUCUUCCCUUCCGAUCCUGCUCUGUCCGGCGUGGUCUAGCGCGCGUGCUGUCGGCAAGUACCAUGAGCAGACAUGUUGGGACCCGAAAGAUGGUGAACUAUGCUUGGCCAGGAUGAAGCCAGAGGAAACUCUGGUGGAGGUCCGCAGCAAUUCUGACGUGCAAAUCGAUUGUCAGAGCUGAGUAUAGGGGCGAAAGACUAAUCGAACCAUCUAGUAGCUGGUUCCCUCCGAAGUUUCCCUCAGGAUAGCUGGUACUCUUGGAAACCAAGGAGUUUCAUCCGGUAAAGCGAAUGAUUAGAGGUCUUGGGGACGAAACGUCCUCAACCUAUUCUCAAACUUUAAAUGGGUGAGAUGCCGAGCUUGCUUGAAUGCUGAAGCUCCGGCGAAUAAUCCGAGUAUCUAGUGGGCCAUUUUUGGUAAGCAGAACUGGCGCUGUGGGAUGAACCAAACGUCGAGUUAAGGGGCCUAAAAGAAUGCUCAUCUAGACCCCAUCGAAAGGCGUUGGUUGCUAUAGACAGCAGGACGGUGGCCAUGGAAGUUGGAAUCCGCUAAGGAGUGUGUAACAACUCACCUGCCGAAGCAACUAGCCCUUAAAAUGGUAUGGCGCUAAAGCAUUCUCCCGAUACUCGACCGCCGGUGGCACUAUAGGCCAAGCUCUCCCUGUGACAGGGGAGAGCCCAGGUCUCCAAGCCCCGGCGAGUAGGAGGGUCGCAGGGGUGAGCGUUGAAGGGAUCCGGCGUGAGCCGGCCUGGAGCCGCCCCUGGUGCAGAUCUUGGUGGUAGUAGCAAAUAGUCGAGAGAGACUUCCCUUGAAGGCCGAUGUGGAGAAGGGUUCCAUGUGAACAUCAGUUGGACAUGGGUUAGUCGCUCCUAAGCCCAAGGCUAAAGCCUUAUCCCAUGCUAGAGGCAACGGCCAAGUAAGUGCUGCGACAGCCGUCUGUGUGUCUGUCUGUC
rnacentral:rRNA from 1 species